GGAGAUUUUUGGCUCAGGUGUCUUUUUUUUUUUAAAGGUUCUUGCUGUGAAAAUUAGCAACACAGCUCAUCUGAAGAACCGGUAGAUCUUGUUUAGACUUGAUGUUGAAAGCAUUCUUCAUUACAGUAUAUCCCUUGCUAUAACAAGAAAUGCCAGUGUUACUAUUUUGAGCAGAGUUUCCCAAGGUAUAUUUUAGUACUGUAAUUUCCAAAGCGCUUCAUCAGUACGGUCUUUAGUUAGACCCUGGUCUGAAAGCUUGAUUUUAAAAUUUGCAUUUGAAAUCUUAUUCUUUGGUCAACCAGUGAAAAUGGUUGAUAUGGACAAGUACAAAGCAGCCUUUUCAGCUGUUGCUUAGUGUUUGAAAUAAGCAAAUCCACCUAUUUGCCUGUGUGGCCCAGGCAUGGGAGCUGGCUAAAAAAAAGUAUUAACCCAGGAAGCUAUAUUUGAUUUGCAGCAAUCAAUUUGUUACAUAUGUUGUUAGUCAACUAAUUUGUGUGGGGAUUUUCCUAAUGACAAAAGUGCAAGGGAAGCAGUGCGUGACAACUUGGUACUAUUUAUGACAUAAUUUUCCAAGGCCAUUUUCUUUGUUGUUAUUAGUUUUGAGUGAUGUCGUUUCAUUAGUAAUGUUUUAUGUAUUGUAUUUUCUUUUGUUAAUUAAUUUAGCACAAUAACAUUCGUUUUAGAAAGAAGCAAUUUCAGAAGGAAAUUCCAAUUUGCACGUUAAUUUUAGAAUAUUGUUAAAUACAUUCUGCAGCUAACAUUAUUUCAGCAAAGGAUGCAUUGAAUUUUAAGGACUGUCGUUGUGGUUUUGUUGUGCAAUUGCUUUUAAAAGCCUGGUUUGUACUUACCCAUAUCACUACUGAAAUAUAUUUAAGGGUUCGUAAUAAACAUUUUAGCCUAUGAACAGUAGUACCUGUAUUUAACAUUUAUUCAACAACUAAGCAUGGCACAGAAGUUAUACAUGGCUUUAUAAAUCUAAUUAGGAACUUCAAAGAAUGAAUGUUAUUUUCCUUUAAGAAAUUACUUGAGGUACUAAGGUAAUCAGAUGGGUCAGAAUAUUCUAUAGUACUUGAAGAGCUAAGCAGAGAUUGCAGGUUUUCUCAUGCCUUUCGUAAGCAGAAUGUGAGUUUUGAUCCUAACAGGUUGUGAAGGGCUACAGGAAGAAGAGAAAAGCUGAAUCUGCAUCGUUUUCUACAGCCUUUGGAAUAUUUUGAGACAUGUACAUCUUGCAUCUCCAGCUGGUAUUCAACGUGAGAAUAAAACCCUUCUGCAUGUUGGACCAAGGAAAACGUCGGGAUCCUUGAGCAUGAUUCAUUUCCUGCACAGAAAGCAUUUCUGCAGCUGAAAAAAGAGUUGAAAUGUGUGCCGAAAAAUCUAUGGAGAAAACAUCCACUACCGAUUAAGCAAAAUCUUGAGUAAUACGAAGCCUGAGGAAAUUGAGAAUGACAAUGCCAUCUGAUAACAUGUCUCCUGGAUAAACUAAGCAGCCAAAGAAGAAUCCUUUUCAUGAAUACUUCUGGGGAAUCAUGUUUAUUUCAAGAUAAGCACCGAAGAACCAGUAUUAAAUCACUGCUUAUAAUGAUCGGCCUUUAUUAGCAUAUUGAACAUGCAAUCUAGCUCUGCUUUUUUAGGCACAUGCCUGUUUUUGCUCAGCUCCUCUCACCUGGCUUGCAAUUUACAGAACUUUAAGGAAACACUAUACUAAGUGCAACAUAUGGCCAAUGGUACACCUGCCCUCUACUUAGCACCUGCUGAAUAGCUCUGUGGGAGUCGGGCUUCUGCCUACAGCUUUGAGGGCCAAGGGGCAAAAGCAUUCCAGCUCAUUUGCAUGCCGGACUGAAGCCACGUGCCUGGACUUUGGACACGGCUAACUCAGCAGCCUGGCAGGGCUUUCUGUAUUAUUAGCAAAUCUGAAGAGAAUGACAGCCUUUUCUGUAAAAACCAUCCACAUACAGACAACUAUACAGAGACCAAAGACAUACAGUACACAGCAAUUCUAUUGAAAUGGGAGUCAGGAACCGAAAAUGCCAUUUAAAUUAGUUGGUUUGAGUGUUGUUAUCUCAUUAAAAGCAUUUGUGUAUCAGUCAUACAGCUGACCAUACAAAGAAAGCAGACAUUGUCAUGAGAUUCAACAAUGCAGAGAAUAAUGCAGAGAAUAAGAAGAUCUUCUUCACAGCUAUAGCAAGUUGUGGUCAAAGUAAGCACAAUUAAUUCAAGUAAAAC